GGGGAAUGUAGCUAGAUGAAACCCCUUAUAGCUGACUAGCAGCUGCCUGAACCUUUGCUUCAGUGUCACAGUGCUAGAACUAGGACUCAGAGAAGUGGCUGACUCCACAGAAAGUACAAGAUGAGCCCAGAUCAUCUGUUUGUGCAAGAAAGUAAAGAAGUGCUCAAAGAAGAUGAGAACAUGUCAAACAUAUAGGAGCCAACCUGAAGAGGGUUCUAGGGUCAAAUACAGGACAAUAUAAAAAUAA